rnacentral:rRNA from 1 species
GACGAACGCUGGCGGCGUGCCUAACACAUGCAAGUCGAACGGGGAUAGAUUGAAGGUUUACCUGAUAUCUAUUCUAGUGGCGGACGGGUGAGUAACGCGUGAGCAAUCUGCCUUGUACUGGGGGAUAACGUCGAGAAAUCGGCGCUAAUACCGCAUAAUACUAUUAGAUCGCAUGGUCAUAUAGUCAAAACUCCGGUGGUACAAGAUGAGCUCGCGUCCAAUUAGCUAGUUGGUGAGGUAAUGGCCCACCAAGGCGACGAUUGGUAGCCGAACUGAGAGGUUGAUCGGCCACAUUGGGACUGAGACACGGCCCAG